rnacentral:rRNA from 1 species
AGUGAACGCUGGCGGUAGGCCUAACACAUGCAAGUCGAACGGCAGCACGGUAAGAGCUUCCUCUUACGGGUGGCGAGUGGCGGACGGGUGAGGAAUACAUCGGACUCUACGUUUUCGUGGGGGAUAACGUAGGGAAACUUACGCUAAUACCGCAUACGACCUACGGGUGAGAGCAGGGGAUCUUCGGACCUUGCGCGAGUGAAUGCGCCGAUGUCGGAUUAGCUAGUUGGUGGGGUAAAGGCCCACCAAGGCGACGAUCCGUAGCUGGUCUGAGAGGAUGAUCAGCCACACUGGAACUGAGACACGGUCCAGACUCCUACGGGAGGCAGCAGUGGGGAAUAUUGGACAAUGGGCGCAAGCCUGAUCCAGCCAUGCCGCGUGUGUGAAGAAGGCCUUCGGGUUGUAAAGCACUUUUAGUGGGAAAGAAGAGCAGCAGGUUAAUACCCCGCUGUUUUGACGGUACCCAAAGAAUAAGCACCGGCUAACUUCGUG